GCAAGGGUGGGGGUGCCAGAGGACAGGAGGAAAGCGGGAUCUGCGAGCAGGUGGCUGCUGCUGCAGGGGAGCAGAGGGGAGCUCUGCGCUGUGCCCGGCAGCGUGGGACUAGCAGGGACAUGGGGGUGCCCAGCCACCCUGUGGGGACCAGCCAGGCCACGGGGGACUGGCAUAGCUCCCUGGGCUCUUAGGCAUGGCUGAGCAGCCACUGCCUCCUGUGUUUGCUCCUUGCAGAGCCACAGCGUGCUCUGCUUGUCCUCAGUGUGCAGCAGGAGAGCUCUGGGGUGGGGGGCUCUGGGGGGACGGAGGGGCCUGGUGGCCACUGGCUGCUGUUCUGGACCACCGUGGGGCUGUAACCCCAUCUCUGCUUGCUGCUGUGGCCAUGCCCUUCUCCCCGGUGACCGCUUGCUCUGAGUCACCAGGAAAUCUGAUAAGGCUCCAGUAAAACCGCUGGAGCAGUGUGUGUGUGGGGGGGGUGUCACUUGGCACUGCAGCCAGGCUCAGCCACCCUGAUUUCUUGGCUCGUCUCCAGCAUCCUGACUGCCACAUGUGUGUGACCAGAGCAACCCAAAGCUGGGUUUGCCAAACCUAAACUUUAGGCACCAAGGGGCCUUUUGGUAAAGAUGCAGCCCCUAAUUCUGGGGAGAACUGCAUGUGGGGAAGGCAUGGGCCCUUUCCAUGACAUGUGGCAGCUGAGCCUCGAGCUUUGAAGGUGACGUUUGCUGGUUUGCAUCAGUUACAUUCUUGAUUUAAGCCUCCCAAAGCGUUAGCGGUUAGAAGGCAGGAGGGGAGCCUGUUGCAGCUUACGGGAUGGAAAAUCAUCCCCAGACGUGACCCAUCAAUUAAAGCAGAUGAUCAGCCCCAGCAGGAACCCGCUAGGUGUGUCAAUUCCUCUUUUCCGUUUGGCUGUGUGCUGGGUAGUCAAAUUUAUCUGUUUUAGCAAUUAAGCAAGAAACCCUGAGCGUUUCUCAUUCUGAAGGGCUUAGUCAUAUCUGGGUGAGAAGCCUGGGCCGGUGAUGCAGCUGGUGAUGUUUGGGUUGAGGCAGGACUGUGCUUUGGCAGCGGGAGACUCCUUGAGGCAAAAACACGGGGGCCGCUUGGCUUUCAGAAACAGUUCCUAGAAGCUAGAACAGAUUCUUGGCCAAGAGGAAAUCUCCUUGCUCCAGCCUGACCAUUUUAACCUGCAAACAAAUCCUAGUCCAGCUCCAGGUGUUUGCAGGACAAGCCACUUACAGAGUAAGAUCCGUGUCUGUGAAACUGCAUUUGCACCCUGGGACAUCCUAACUAUGCCACAGGGUGUAAAAUUGAACUUUAUGUGCGUGUUGUGGGGUUUUUACACUGAAUUUCCUUUUUUUUUCUGUGUAGCAUAGGUUGCGGAUAGAAAAGGAGACAGGUAUUUAUUUAAAUGCCUUUUAAAAUUAAUAAUAAUUUAAAAUGUCUUUUGUAUGACUUAAAUUGUUUUCCCUUCAACUGUAAGAAGGGCAAGCUCUCAGGCAGAUUUAUUCCUUGCUCCCUGUCCCUUUCUUGGAACAGCCACAGCCCUGUUCCACAAGGAUCCUCUCCAAGGUGUGGUUCUCCUGCAGGAGCUGUGCUGCUGGGAGAACACCUUGUUUGCAUUCCCCAGCUUUCAAGACUGCAUCAUGAAGCUCCAGGUCUGACAGUCGGAACCAGCAAGUCCUCCUUGGCUCCAGCUCUGGCAUUCCUGUCACCAGCUUGAGAAAAAAUCAAGCUCCCAUGCCCCAAUUUUCUCUCCACCAGCGAGGAAAACUUCCAUGUCAAGGACAUCUGAAGCCUGCCUGAUUUUCUGCGUGGAGCUUUGGGUCCCCAUGGAGAUGGCAUCUGAGAAAAGAAGAUAAAACCCUUUUGUGAGGAUGGAUCACGAUUAUUAUUUGUUUAAUUAGAGUCUGGACUGAUGCAGAGGCAACAAUUAACAAUUACCUUCUGUAAAGGACUUUGACAACAGCUGAAUAGGUUAAUGACUUGCAA